rnacentral:lncRNA from 1 species
GGCUUCUUGAUCCUAUGUGUUGUAUUGAGUGUUGGUCACUGGUCUUUGGGAAGCUUGGACAGAAGUGGGGCAGCCAUGGAGCUGCUGACUGGGACUGGCCUGUGGCCCGUGGUCAUAGUCACAGUCAUCUUCAUAUUACUGGUGGACAUGUUGCACCGGUGCCAGCGCUGGACUUCUUGCUGCCCACCAGACCCUGUGCCAUGGCCUGUGCUGGGUAACCUGCUGCAGGUGGACCUGGAUAACAUGCCAUAUAACUUGUACAAGCUUCACAACCGCUAUGGUGACGUGUUCAGCCUGCAGAUGGGCUGGAACCACAUGGCCGUGAUCAACGGACUGAAGGUGAUACAGGAAGUGUUGGUGACCUGUGGAGAGGACACUGCUGACCGCCCUGAAAUGCCCAUCUUUCCACACCUAGGCUAUGGGCAAAAAGCUAAAGGUGUGGUCCUUGCUCCUUAUGGGCCUGAGUGGAAAGAGCAGAGGUGAUUCUCUGCGUCGACCCUGUGCAACUUCAGCCUGGGCAAGAAAUCACUGGAGCAGUGGGUGAUGGAAGAGGUUGGACACCUCUUUGAUGUCUUCACUGCCCAUGCUGAGGAGGCUGUAGACAAGAGAUUUGGAAAGAACACAUCUAGAAGUGUCCACCACAGUAAUAGGAGCCUGGAGAUUGACAUACAGCAAAAGGAAGUGAGAAGCUGACCAAGGUCAGGGCUUCUAGAAGCUGAGACCCUGGCCCUCUGCCCACAUGGAACAUCUGUGAGAUUUUCCAGGGUUGGCUGACAAAGUCUUCCCUGGGCAAAAGACAUUUCUCAUAAUGGUGGAUAAGCUGGUGACUGAGCACAAGAGGACCUGGAACUCGGACCAGCCGCCUCGAGACCUGACUGAUGCCUUUAUGGCUGAGAUGGAGAAGGCAAAGGGAAACCCUGAGAGUAGCUUCAAUGAUGCAAAUCUAUGUCUGGUUGUCCUUGACCUGCUGGGUGCUGCAACUGUGACCACCUCAACCACACUGUCCUGGGCCCUGCUGCUUAUGAUCCUGCAUCCGGAUGUGCAGUGUGAGCCUGGCUGGGGCUGUCAAGAAAGGAGGAGGAGGGUAGAGGCAAACUCCUUAAACUUACUUGGGACACUUGUAGAUCCCAGCAUUGAGUUAACCCAGACUGCAGUAAGUAUGGUUGCCUUAUUUCUCCCAUGGACCCAGCCCUUAACAGAGAGGUAGUGGAUGGACAAGGGGCACCCACUGAAGCAUCUUAACUGAUGGGAAAAUGUCCUUCCAGGCCAAGUACAACAGGAAAUCGAUGAGGUCAUUUGGUAUGUGUGGCUUCCAGAGAUGGCAGACCAGGUCUGCAUGCCCUUCACCAAUGCUGUCAUUCAUGAGGGCAUGACUCUCAUCUCCAACCUGUUCCGUGCUGAAGGAUGAGACUGUCUGGGAGAAGCCCCUUCGCUUCCAUCCUGAACACUUCCUGGAUGCCCAGGGCCACUUUGUGAAGCCUGAGGCCUUCAUGCCAUUCUCAGCAGCGCUUUAGCUUCUCAAUGCCAGCUGGACAAUCCCUUCCCAGUGAUUAUGGCAUCUAUACAAUGCCAGUUACUCCAGCACCUACCAGCUCUGUGCAGUGGUUUGCUAGCAGGGGCAGUGGCUCCAGCCAUCAUCACAGAUUGUUCUGACUGAUGUCCAAUAAACAAGUUUUGUGUCUGAAUCUCA